CUGGGAAUCAAUGUGUGAGGUGGUGCUAUGUAGCAGGAACCCCUCUUGCUUUGCAAAUAGUUUUUUGUUUGUUUUCCUUUUUGCCCAAUAGAGCCCUGCUCUACUGACCCUUCAAUGUGCCCGUGUGCCUAAAUAUUCCUGGUCGUGUGAAAAGAACCCAGGUAUUAGCUGAACUAAGGAGCACAAUUCUGCAACAUUUUGGCACCCAAACACGGGGCUUGAGAAAUGAAUGCAAUUGGAGAAACUGGUUGUUUUACCAGGCGUUGAUUGGAAAUGUGUGCUUCCCUUUAAGCAGUCAAGCUCAACUUGCAGAACUGAUGGGAACCCCUUGGGAAAACUGGCCUCAAAUGUUUGUCUACACAGUCCACAUACAGGGUUCUUAACCUGCGAUGAGGGAAACUUCCCAGGGCUUGUCUGGGUAUGCCCACAGUGGACUGGAGCCCAAAAUGCACACUGGAGGAAGUGGAUGGAGCCACGUGGAUGUCAUGCCUUAUGCAGGGGAGGAGCCUGCUCUCUUCAGCUCCUGUGGUAAUGUGGGAAUCGAUCUGUGAGCAUAUUUAACUAUCCGGCUAUUUUGGAGAUUGAAAAAAGAAGACCUGAUUUAUCAUGUGCAAUAUCUCACACAUCUGUCAUUUCUAUUCUACCGCAAUUCGAUGGAGUCUUGUUCUGUGGUCCAGGCUAGAGGGCAGUGGCAUGAUCUCGGCUCACUACAAGCUCUGCCUCCCGGGUUCACGCCAUUCUCCUGCCUCAGCCUCCUGAGUAGCUGGGACUACAGGCGCCCGCCACCACGCCUGGCUAAUUUUUUGUAUAUUUACUAGAGAUGGCUAGUGUUAGCCAAGAUGGUCUCGAUCUCCUGACCUCGUGAUCUGCCCACCUCAGCCUGCCAAAGUGCUGGGAUUACUGGCGUGAGCCACCGUGCCUGGCCAGCAUCCUCUAAUUAUUAUUCAUAGUUUGUGAAUUUAGGCCUACGUGAAUAAUAAUAUAAUAUUUACUAUGAUGUUACUAUCUACCAACCUUAUUUUUCUUUUCUAUAAAAUAGGAGCCAAAAUAAUAUUUAUGUCAUACCUUAUGAAGUUAAAAUAAAAUAUAACGAAUGAGGGGCUUAA